rnacentral:rRNA from 1 species
AUGGAAGGUCUCCUACACUGGGAUUUCAACCUUGGCCUUGCGGUUAUAGAUCAGGUACGUCGAUGAUUUGGAGAAACGGUUCAUUAUACCCCCUCUCGCAAUACCAAGGAUUUCUUCUUGGUUGUUUCUUUCUCCUCGGCUUCCUUUCCUCUUUCUGAGCAUUCAGUGGGCGUAGCUUUACAAUGUCGCAUUGGUGGUCACCACAAAGGGUUUAAGGUCUCUCGGAUCAAUUAG